rnacentral:rRNA from 1 species
AGUGAACGCUGGCGGUAGGCCUAACACAUGCGAGUCGAACGGCAGCACAGUAAGAGCUUGCUCUUACGGGUGGCGAGUGGCGGACGGGUGAGGAAUACAUCGGAAUCUACUUUUUCGUGGGGGAUAACGUAGGGAAACUUACGCUAAUACCGCAUACGACCUACGGGUGAAAGCAGGGGAUCUUCGGACCUUGCGCGAUUGAAUGAGCCGAUGUCGGAUUAGCUAGUUGGCGGGGUAAAGGCCCACCAAGGCGACGAUCCGUAGCUGGUCUGAGAGGAUGAUCAGCCACACUGGAACUGAGACACGGUCCAGACUCCUACGGGAGGCAGCAGUGGGGAAUAUUGGACAAUGGGUGCAAGCCUGAUCCAGCCAUACCGCGUGGGUGAAGAAGGCCUUCGGGUUGUAAAGCCCUUUUGUUGGGAAAGAAAAGCAGCAGGUUAAUACCCCGCUGUUCUGACGGUACCCAGAGAAUAAGCACCGGCUAACUUCGUG